rnacentral:rRNA from 1 species
CCUACGGGCGGCUGCAGUGGGGAAUAUUGGACAAUGGGGGGAACCCUGAUCCAGCCAUGCCGCGUGUGUGAAGAAGGCCCUCGGGUUGUAAAGCACUUUCAGUGAGGAAGAACGCCUGGUGGUUAAUACCCAUCAGGAAAGACAUCACUCACAGAAGAAGCACCGGCUAACUCCGUGCCAGCAGCCGCGGUAAUACGGAGGGUGCGAGCGUUAAUCGGAAUUACUGGGCGUAAAGCGCGCGUAGGUGGCUUGAUAAGCCGGUUGUGAAAGCCCCGGGCUCAACCUGGGAACGGCAUCCGGAACUGUCAAGCUAGAGUGCAGGAGAGGAAGGUAGAAUUCCAGGUGUAGCGGUGAAAUGCGUAGAGAUCGGGAGGAAUACCAGUGGCGAAGGCGGCCUUCUGGGCUGACACUGACACUGAGGUGCGAAAGCGUGGGUAGCAAACAGGAUUAGAUACCCUAGUAGUC